ensembl:lncRNA
CCCCCUCUCCUUCCAGCCAUACAGCCACUCCAAUUGGCCGCUGCGGUUAGCGGUUCACCGCCACCCACCGGGCAAAUUGGAGCAUCAUCACACCUCCAAGUCACGGAGAACAUAUGGAAGGAAGGCUUGAACAAGUUCACUGGCUCGACACGGUGAAUUAAUGGGGCCACAGAGGAGACAGAGCCGGUUGAUUGGAAUGUGGUAAAAGAGCCGCAGUUGUAAGACAGCGGCCAACACAAAGUCAAAUGAAGCCGAGUCAGAUGAGUGGCCUUUAGAUAUUUCUAAAUACAAAGCAGGAGAACCUUCACACGCAGUGCGUUUAGUGAUUGGUAAUUUGUCCGCAGCGGCCCGUGAAGGGCCGAGUCCCCUUCCAAAGACCUUUCUGAUGACGAUCAGUGGUCCCUGAGGGACUCCUGAACGGCCGGGCUUUGGCACCUGCUCCCGUCCGGGAUCACGAGGGAGGAACAGCUGCUGCGAAAGGCUGGAACGUCUGGCAGAAAAGGUGGGAAAGUCAACGUCUGGAAGGUUGUCGGGGGAGAAGCAGGCGCCGAGGACCAUGUAAGACGGCACAGUUAUCGCUGACAGAAGCUGCAAACGGCGCGGCACACAUCUCCCCGGACGGGGGAGUAAUCUGCAUCUUCAAAGUGCUGCCAGACAAUCCUGCGAUGGUGAAAAAACACAGAGGUUUUGAUGGAAAGGCCCGAGGGAGCGGGCUAGUCUGCGUUGCACACUGCACGCAUGGUGGCAAAAGACCCUUUUUCCUUUUUUCACUGACUGCCUACUGCUGCACUCAAACUACUUCCUCGUGAGGGAAGAACUCCUCACACACACACUUAGUCUCACUUCGUAAUCUCCGUGGGCGGUUUACACCAUCAGAGGCACAUCGGAGUCAUGAGGUCAGCAGAAGGUCGUCGGCGUCACGAGAAGUGAGGUGGCUUACUGUGAGGCGAAAGCGAGAAAAGAUGUUUUUCAACCUCGUCUCUUGACUUGUAAUGUUUUGAGCUGUUUUUACCAAUCAGCAGUUCCCCCAAAUACAAAGAGUCAAAAGCAAAUCAGGCCAAACUUUCCUCUAAAGUCUCCCCAAACAAACCCUUCACCAAAUUCUAGCUUACACAGCUGAGCCAGUUCUAAUGCAACUUUUUAACCUGACAUUGAACCUACACGACGUGCUAGAAAGCACUAAAUUUACCAAAAAAGACUUAGGGGGGAAAAGCCAUGAAUGAGAUUACAAAACUGUAAUCUUUGGAAAAGUGUCUAUGAGUAUCUUCUCUCAACAGUUGCAAUGAUGUUGUUCAGCUCUGCCCGUUUUAAAUGUCACUGGUUUACUUAUUCAUCAGCGCUGCAGAACUUGAAAUGCUCCGAGGUGAAGCCACACCUCGGGUAACACGGCACGUCUACCAAAAAAGCUAAACUGCAGGCGUUUACUCCGCCUUGAUGAUGUUUUCAAACGUGGUUUCUGGCGAUGUCGGUGUCUACUAGCUUUCAUCCUAUGAUGCACUCUGCAUUAUUAUAGUCAAUGCUCUUCCAGCCAUUUUUAUUUCAUUUGCCCUUGUCAGUACUUACCCCCUCUUCACUCCGAUGGAGAAGUUUCCACAGGAGGUUGCUGAGCAUACAUUCUUAACAGAAUCCCUUUUCAAAUUAAAUUUAAAUGACCCCCUCAGCUCAUAAGCAGAGGCUCUCCUGACAACUUAAUUCAUAAUUCAGUGCUGAGCCAGGGCCUUGAGGGCCAUAAUGAGGGCCUAAAUGGAGGAGAGAUGCUACUAAAUGGGCUGUUUGUUUGCGCCUAAACCUCUUUACGGGCCACGAGUCCACAGCUCAGCACCGCGUGGGCAAAGCGGAGAGGUGGAGGGCCGGGACAUUUUGCUGACCGCUCGGCUUUCCUUUGUCUCGGGUCGACGCGUGCCGCUUGACCGCGAUGAGAUUUGGGGAGAUCACAUCUGCAUUCAGGUUCCGCUUGACUUAACGGUUGGGGUUUGUAGACUACGCGAGGACAGCAAAGCACACUCGUGAGAUAUUCAUGUCAAAGAGUGGGCCGUGUGGAUGGCGACACAGUAAAGCCCGUAAACUAGGCCGCCACUAGGCCUCCAAGUAAUUGGAGGGAACAUCUGAGUCUGUUGAGCAGACUCCAAUCGGUGAUAUAGGGAUGGUUGUGGUGGGUGAUGAAAAGAGAAUACCGUAAAAGAGCGGAGCAUGGUGUAAAGGAUGUGGAGGAGGAUGCUAAAAGAGGAAUAAUAGAGGUGGAGACGACUCCAGUAUAGCGGGAGAGAAUAUUGGUUAACAGCCCUGCUGUAUGUUUCAAGCCGCAUCCAAAUGUCUCUUUAAAGAAUAUAAAAAAACCCACCUGGCAUGGCCACAGAAAAUACUCUUCCAGAUGGUGACAAUACUUAAAAUAUAUUGGACCAAACUGAAAGCUCCGUCAAUAAAAUCCCAUAAAUUUAAAGUGAACUUCUGAGGAGUAAACUGUCACUUAAUAAAGAAAUGUGUAAAUGCAAACCAACCGUCAAAAACAGGAACCCAAGAUUACCAUCCCUCUGUGAAAGGAAGGGAAGGAGGAUUUGCAUCACAUUUAAAAUUGUAAUAUCAGUCUUUGUCAUUCAGUGUGUGUCACUUGAUAAAUGCUCCCUGUAGAAGGUGUAGUGUGUUGCGGGAAUUGGUCUUAAAACUUGGCAGUUCGUCUCAAAGUCAAUGUGUUUUCCUAUCAGGUUUUCUGUUUCAACAACAGGGUCAGGUCAACACAACAUUGUUAGAUUUUUGUGUUUAGUUCUACAAUUUCACGCCCACUUCUCCACCUUCCACGGCCUUGUUGUGUACACUGGCGCUCAUGUGACCUUGGAGAAGUUAACUUAUGGUUUAAAGUGAGCUCUUCACUUACACACAUUGUGUUAAUGCUUCACAAAUAAUAGAGGUGGUUCAUUUUUUGUGAAGAACAUUGCUGGACAUAGGUAUCAUAACCUUGUGUUUUUCCCAGUUUAUUACCGGCAAUAAUAUUAAAUCCAAUGGAAGAAUACAAUUGAGAACCAGUGCAAUUCUUUUGUCCGGGAUUGGCCUACAAAAACAUCUCCUCCCAGCAGCUCUCUAUAACAGUCGAGCCCAAAGGUCUGGGCGUGCCACCAUUUACAGAUGCGCUUAAAUGGACAAAAAGGACAAAAGUCAUUGAGAGCAGCUGCCCCUCCGGUACGUCCCGCCCCUCCGCACUGAACCCGUUGCCAGCUUUGACCAGAACUCGUAAGCAUUUUGUAUUCCCGUCUCUCUGCUUCUCUGCAAUCGCUUUUUCCAAAGAUCAAAUAAUAUUUCUUGAGGGGGAAAGGGCAUAAACUUACCAUCCACCACUCAUGAGAAUGAACGCCUACAAAGAGCUCCCUUCUCUGAGGAGCACACAGACGGGGUUGUUGCUUUACAGCUGACAGGCGGACAAAUGUAGCAGAGGGCACUUUACCACUCGACCCCACUGCAGUGCUUCAGGCGGAGUAACUGUGGUAAUGCAAUUAGAAAGAAUACAUCAGUGCAAAAAAGGUUUGAUAGACAUAAAUGUUAGAUUGAUAAAUACAAUUAAAGUGGAUAAUUAUAUUUUAUGCAGAGUUACAUCAAGUGCCACCUGACUUAAUUUUGACAAAAGAAUCCAAUUUUUCUUAAAUAUUUGGUGGUGGAGUCACCAGCCAGGUGGGACUCUCAACAAGAGAUGAUUCUGAAGCAACCAAAGGACAUUUUACUCAGACUUGACAGCAAUGUAGAGCAAUAGAUGUGCUGGAGCUUAUGAGGGAGGCCUUGAAUGCACUGCUUGAGUUCACUGAAUCACUCUGGUGACUCAUAGCUAAAAGUGUCCUACCUCAUGAUUUCCAUCGCUUUAGUUCACAAAUUCUAAAGAAAACACAACACAAAAGAGUACAGUCAGGUUAUGUCUCUGCAAAAAUAAACAAAUAUAUAAAUAAAGACCCUGUUGGUCUCGCAGCAUCGAGCGAUCUACAAUUUAACAUGUAAUGAAUCAACCCGGACAGCAGAGAGGCCACCAAAAUGAGAGACAUUUCCAUCUCACAGUGUAAUCAGAGAGGAGGAGACAGUAGAAGAACACGGGGCUGCUGCAGCUUUACCGAUGCACAAGUCAAGUCACCUACAGUUUGCUUGAUUACACACAGACCACAGUAGCCGUCAACAUCGGAACUCUCCAAAUGCCAUAUUUACGUGUCAAUUUUUAGGCUCUUUUUCUUGUCCCCUAACAAUUGAAAGCAAAAGCCCAAAGUGUGUUGAUGUGUGCGUAAGUUGAACUUUUUGAUGUCUUAUACAUUAUGAGCUGUCCAGUCGGCGGACACCUGGUGCAGCUUGAGCUGCUAUUGUCCAUGCACAUCAUUACUAUUGUAUUGCAUAUACUUGCAUUAUUUUAUACCCUAUACCAUUUACACUAUGCUAGGUGCUGUUGUUUGUUCUUCUUUGAAGCGCUGGCCAUCACAGCACCUCCUCGCUUCCCGUCCCUGCAGCUGUUGAACCCCUGAGUGACACUGCUGUGUUCCCCAGUGUGGACUUGUGGAUGUGUAGAUGCUGUAGAAGCCUACAGGCGGUGGUGCAGAAAAGUGCUGUGACAGGUCCUGAGUAAAUAAAGGUCAACAUGUUGACUAUAAAAUGAUAUGUAUAUUCCUAAAUAUCCCCAAAUUAGCAUAUGUGCAAGAAUAACCAGUCAGAGAGAAGGAUUUAGCCUCAAUCGGCCAUAUUGUUCAUAGAAAAAGAGCUCUGUUUUUCUACAAAAUCAUUAUAUCUAAGAAAAAACAUGAUUUGUCAGCAUUAGUCCUCAGGCUGCUUGUUCUAAAGUUAAGGACUCCAACUGAGUUAGGACACAGUGAAAUGGGAGUGGAGCACACAUCUUCAGAGAGGCUGCCGUGUCCUCGGGGGUUUGUUGCUGUUAAGAGGCCGGACCACCCAUGUCCUGCUGUGCCAAUACCUGCUUUAACCGUGGAGAUUUGCCGGCGACUCUCAGCGGCACUCUGUGAUGUAGGUUCGGCAGUGAGCUCUAUUAAAAAGUCAUUAAAGCUGAGAGAAAGCACGGCGGGUUCAACCCUCUUGGCGAAAGGCGCCUCUGGAAAUUACUCCAUCCAUCAUAAUUACACCAACCGGACACUGCCUCACGGAGGCCAAGGGACGCAGAUCCCUUUAUGACCUCACUGAACUAGACUUAUGGAGAGGAAGGGGGGGAGGAUGUGGAGGAAGAGAACUAGAAGGAAGACCGGAGCAGAGCUGGAGUGAAGCAUUAGGAGGAUACGGGAAGUGAAAGGAGCAGGAAAGGUUUCAGGGAGUGAAGAACAAAGGAAGGAAGGAAGGAUGAAAGUAAGAACACAUAACCCUGUUGGAGUGCAGCUUAACGGUGAAGAAAGGCCGCUGUCAUGAAACAGAUGAUUAAAAAAGGGAACAAAUGUCCUCACUAUUUCACUGUGGGCUCUGUUCCUGCAGAUCAAUGGCACAGGAUGUGAGUGCACAGGAUGCGCCAACUGAGUUUUUGGUAAUUUCAAUGCCGGAGGCGAAGCGCAAUGCUGGAUAUUAGGUUGGAUUUAGAGAAAUGCAUUAUCCGUGCAUCUGGCUUCAGUCAUGGCCAAUCAGAUAAGCACUCUCCUUCCUUUUAAAGUUGGAAAAGGUUAUGAUGUAAUAGUCCAGAGCAUCACAAGCGCUUCUCUUGAAAGGAAACUAAUGUCAUUUUGUGGGAGGUGCAGAACUGCCACAAGUGAACAUAUGGUAGCGUAAAUAAACUACUUAGGGCUGUUGAUUGUGUUUGUUGGGAAACAGUUGCCCAGCGCAGGAAAUCUUAUUAGACAAAGACGAUAAAAGUUUUGCAGCAAGUGUAGUGUUAGCGCACAGUAUUGACUCCACGCUGUCCCAGUGCACAAAGGAAAGAACCUCGAUGACCCGUCGGUCCAUUAUGGAGCCUAUAGACAGACACAUUCAUAUGCACAGGAGAAGUACUUCAUCCUCUCCGGAGUUGGAGGUUGAUUUUAUUAAAAAAGAAUCCUUAGCAUUCCGUUAUUGACUCUCACUAAUUAAGAAUUUCCAAAGUUGAAAUAAGUUCUCUUCGUGAGCUCUGCAAUCAGGCUUUGUUGGUUGAGGUUUGCAGGGGCUGAGCUGACGUAUCGAUUAGAUGUUGCCUUUUUGGAAAAAAACACAAAAAACAGACCAUUCUCAGAGGAGCUUUUCUCCGUCAAUGCAGUCGGGAGUGGAGGUUUUGCAUUUAGGUGACAACGUGGUGCCCCGGCUGCUAAUAAGGACACUAUUUACUUGGCUACCGUACAUUACGGACUAUAGAGCGCACCUGAAUAUAAGCCGCACCACAUACAUUUUGAACGGAAAAAAGAUGUGUACAUAUAUAAGCUGCAGGCGUCCACGCGGCAGAAAAACGACUCCGACGUCUCCCCAUUGAUCCGUUAAUGGCAAGCUUACGUGCAGCCGCUCUGUGUCCUUCUCCGACAGCCAGAUUGGCUUCCUGCACGGUUGUAUAAGCCGCAGGGUUCAAAGCGUGGGGGAAAAAAGUAGCGGCUUAUAGUCCGGUAUUUACGGUAUGUGGUAUGAAGCGGGAUAAAGCCAGUGUUGGCAGGAGGUUGUGCUAAAUCGAUGGGUCCAAGGACACAGGUUUAGGAGAGUUGUGUUUGUGUCUCCUGGGAAAGCACAAGUCAACAAGGACGUUACUAAGUUGCUUUGCAUUUAGACUACGUAAUAAGCGUAUUUAUUACCGCACCUAGUUGUAUCCUCUGCAGACGCUUUUAAAACCACUUUGCUUCUUUGGGAAACACUCUUUGGGGUAGACGGUUGUCAGGUUUGUCUCUGUGUGGUCUAAAUUAGAUUUAAAGCACAUUCCUUUCUAAAUCCAACACAAUGUUCCUCUUACUUAUUGGGCUAUUUAUCCAUUUU